rnacentral:siRNA from 1 species
UAGAGAGGUAUUAAUUUAUCGAUA